rnacentral:rRNA from 1 species
UACGGGGGGGGCAAGCGUUGUUCGGAAUUACUGGGCGUAAAGGGCUCGUAGGCGGCCAACUAAGUCGGAUGUGAAAUCCCCAGGCUUAACCUGGGAACUGCAUCCGAUACUGGAUGGCUUGAAUCCGGGAGAGGGAUGCAGAAUUCCAGGUGUAGCGGUGAAAUGCGUAGAUAUCAGGAGGAACACCGGUGGUGUAGACGGCUCACUGGACCGUAACUGACGCUGAGACACGAAAGCGUGGGUAGCAAACAGG